UUUUUCUUAAUUUCCUUUUCAGAUAGGUUGUCAGUGAACAGAAACAUAACUAAUUUUUGUAUGUUGAUUUUGUAUUUUGUUACUUACUGAAUUUGCUUACUCUAACAGUUUUUGUUUUCUAUGUACAAAAUCUUAUCAUCUGCAAGCAGAGAUACUUUUACUUCUUUCUUUCUAAUUUAUAUGGCUUUAUUUCUUUUUCUUGCCUAAUCGCUCUGGCAGGAUGUCUGGUACUAUGUUGAACAGGAGAAAUGAGAGUGGGCAUCCUUGCCUUGUUCUGGAUCUCAGAGAGAAAGCUUUCAACUUUUCAUUGCUGAGUAUGAGCUUUUUAUAAGUGGAUUUUAUUGUAUUGAGUGCAACCACUGAAGACCUCGUGAAGAAAGCAGUAUGCUGGAAAGACACAUAAAAUCCACCAUCGAGACUUCAGCACUAAAGCUCCCAUUGUAUUGUUCCAGUACAGAGCAGCAGGCCAAGCCAAUUGGACCUUUAACUGACCUCUGUGUUCAACAAAAAAGUCAACUAAUGUCCUGGUAACAGUUGCUGAAGUGUGGAAGAAAAAUGCAGGGAUCCAAAGAAUGGCCCCAUCGAGCUUUUUUAAACUCAGGAAAAAGUUGUUACGGUCCUGAAUGGUCAAAAGAUUGUUGUAAUAUUUUUCCAGAAUGCUGGGGUUGAAGGUGGUAAGGUUGGUUUUCCUUCCAACAUCUCUUUGGAAAGCCUCCGUAGGGGCAAAAUUGCAACGGAAAACAAAAUCUGACUUAUCUAUUUCUUGUCCACACCGGCUCCCUGUCAGGAUCCCACUAUUUCCAACCACAGCACAAAUAUUAAAAUGCUUAUUCACAAUGGGUGACACAUCUGGAAGCAGUGAUCGGAAGUUAUUGCUAAUAGAGAAAACAUAUUUAUGGCUGGAAUAAUCAUAGUGCAUCAGUUGUCCGAUCCGAACACUAUUCUUGGUCAAAGAAAAAUUUUUUAUUACAUCGACAUGCUGAAGAAUUUCUUGCCUAAAAUGAAAAGAAAUUCAUUAAAUGCAUCCCAUUCAAAAGAAUUGAUUUUCCAUCUUAUGUCUUAUGCUGCCAUUUCAUUCAGACAAGAAUCGUAGGCCCAUUGUAUCUAAGAAAGAUUAUACAUUCAUAAUAAUUGCGGUCAUUGCGGGAAAGACUGCUUCAGAAUCUACAGAGGUGUUAAUUUCCCAAUCAAGUUCUGGAUGUAAUCCUUCAAGGCUUAUAAAUGUUGUCACUUACAGUUUUAGCUGGCAUUCUUUGGUUUUCUGCUCUAUGUGAGAAGUAUAUUUGAUCAAGGAGGAGGCAUGAUCAUAGGAGGUCAAACUAUGUCAGAAAAUACAGGGAGACAAUUUACACAGGCUCCAAAGAGCUCACGUUAAUUCACAAACAUUGGUGACUUAGAGUUUGUAACCAGGUACUGUUUGUUUGCUAUUGGACUGCAGCGUUCAAGGAAUAUCAAAUAUCACUGGUAUCCAAAUAAGAGCCAAAUAGAUACGAGUCAGUAUCAUACUAUCUAUUAUUGAAAUAUGGAAAUGGUAACAAUAGUGAAUGUAGUUGCGUAUUUAAUAGAAAUGAGAUGAUAAUCUCAUUAAGGUCCUUUGAAUAAUGAAACAGGAAUGUUUUUAUACUUGAUUAUAUAGAAACACAAUUUAGUUGGAGGAACUUAAUCCUUAGAAAAACAGGCUAUCGUGAAUCCUGAAAAUGUGUGUACAUUCUAAGAAUUCAGAGGAUAAACAAGGCAAGGAUGAUACUUAGCAUUAAUUUCAGGUUGCUCUCAUGUUGAGCUUUAAGUAAAAUGAAGUAUUUCCUCUUAGAGUUUCAGCUAUUUAAAAUAUUUAUGAGAGACCAGUAACAUGUUACUUUGCUACUAGAUUCUCUAAUUCUAAGAAAUCACAUUGUAAAUUUCCUAUGUCUUUUGCCUAAAAAAAAAUAGGAUUGAAACUAAAUGCUUUGCAUAUCA